rnacentral:lncRNA from 1 species
UCCCUCUUCUCAGUGCACUCACCGGACCCUCUCCGGGGGACGCUCAGUCCCUGGUCCAGCACCUGGGAGAGAAAGGAGGCGACGAAGCAGGGCGUCAGGCCAGGGCGUCAGGUCAGGGCGCCGGGGCAAGGCUGGAUAAUGGGGGCAAGCAGGGCGCGGGGCGCAGAGCGGCUGGUUAGCGCCUGGCUCUCCGGGGCAGGCGGGCAACUGGCCACGUCCCGGCGCCUCCCGCCCGAACCACGUGGGCUGCGCCCCGCUCCGCCCAGCUCCGGGAGCGCGGACACCUCUGGAUGCCCUGCCAGGCAGAGGGCGGAACGGAACGGACACCUGGGGCGCCCGCGCGGGAAGCGCCAGUGCGGGGGAGAGCCCCGGAUACUCGACCCCCAAGCCAGUUUGGGGAGAAAGACGGCGGCGGGGAGGGGAAAGUUGAGCACACAGCUGCGAUUCCCGUGAGUUGCGGCGACUUUGCAUAGGUGACAUCGCGCCGCGGUCCUGCCUUGGGCACGGUGGGACCCGCUUGCUGAGCGCGCUCUAGAGCGCGCGGCACAUCGUCGAAAUUUCUAACUCUGCAGGGAAAGCGCUAUGUACUUCGGCUUUACAAAUGGGGAAACUGAGGCUCAGAAACGCGCCCUACCAAAGCCACCGACCAGUAAGUGGCAACGCCAAAUAAUAAAUAGGACUUUAAGCCCAGGGCUUUCUGCUGCAGAGAGCGUACCCUCACCCCUUCGAUUCUGCCAGGCAUCAGGACCAGGAGGGUCCCGCAGCCGCGGGCAGCCCUGCUGCGGGGAGGAGACCGAGGCCUUGCCCGCCAAGAAAAAGUCAAGAUCCGCGGGCAAAUGGGGCAGAUGUGGAAGCCAGGACGCGCGGCGCGGUGGUUCCAGGACCGAGGACGCGCUGCGGGGAACGCCUGGGAGCUCCGCGCCGCUGCGCUCUUCUCCUGGACUCUAGGGCCGGCCUUUGGGUGCUCAGCGGGGCCCGCAAGCUCAGAGGGUCCCAAGGCGAGCCGCCGUCUCCAGUCCGCCCGGCCUGCCUGUCCUUCCGAAUUCCAAUGGACAUUAGGGAAUUGCCCUCCUCCCUCAUCCUCCAAGACUGGGCGCUUCAGAAUUUUCUCUCCCUCCCCCUCCCUCUCCCUUGUCACUUAAAAACUCACAUUCUGUUCUCCAGGAACCGCUUUUGCAAUUCAGUUUUCCUAUCUGCAAAAUGAUAGGAAUAAAGCCAUUAGGUGAAUGAAUAGAUACUAGUAUCUCCAUUUAACAGAAGAGGAAUCAAAACCUUAUAGGAUUGUUGUGAUAUCACAUUAGAUUAUUUGUAAACAGCUUUCAAAAGGCUGCAAAAGAACAAAAAAGAAUGUUGUUGCCUGCUGAGCCCAGGGGAACACUGUAGGUGAAUCAGGGUAUUUCAGGCCCCUGGGCUGCUUUGAGACAGGUGCUCUUACCAAACACCAUCAAUUGUUGAGUGUGAACCCUGGAAUAGAGUGAAGCUUACACUGAAGCCAGUAUUUCCACAUCCCAUAUGAUCUGGUGCUUAUGUUUUUCAUUUCCUUACCUCCUUGC